CCUGCUCAAUGCAUCUAAAUAGCCGCGACAAGUGCUAAGGUAGCAUAAUAAUUUGCCUUUUAAUUAAAGGAUAGUAUGAAAGGAAAAACGAUUCAUCACCUGUUUCUAACUAACUUCUAUAAAUUAAUUCUUUUUGUCAAAAUACACCUACACAUCAGCAGGACGACAAGACCCUGACGAACUUAACUCAUAGUUACGCUGGGACGGCAUAAAACUACAUCUUUUUUAUUUUUACAAUACAAGCCCGCCCCAGAAUCAAAACAAGUUACCGCAGGGAUAACAGCAUAAUAAUCUCCCAAAGCUCCCAUUAAACAGAUUGAUUAUGACCUCGAUGUUGAAUUAAUUUACCCCCUCGCAGAAAAAAGCAAAAAAGAAAGUCUGUUCGACUUAUUACCUAUUACAU
rnacentral:rRNA from 1 species